rnacentral:misc_RNA from 1 species
GCGACGGUGACGACGACGACGAACCACUUUGAAAGAUGGCUUUGUUCGCCGAGCUCGAGCGUUACGACUAUACAGCUACCGAUGCACAAUAGAUCGCUCGUCCGUGGCUUGAUGUUGAGCUUUUCCAGAGCCAGAGGUGGACGUUUUUGUGCGGGAUCAUUAUGUAACCCGGUGAAUCGCUGUCUGCUCGAUCGAAGAAGAUGUCGAUGAGUAAAAUUCCAAAGAGUGGGUGAUAAAUGUUUUUCCGAGCGACGUUCGAUUGGAGUUGCGAAGCUGACACUUCCGUUCUAUAAUUCUCAUUCCGUUGAUCUUUUUCGACCGAUCGGCUUAGAUCGUCCGAAGAAUCGCAGCGAGUACAGGACAACGAAAGAAAGAAGAAAAAAUGGGCGACUACGCGGGCACGAAGCAGUUCAACGCGAUCGACGGCGUCGUUUUCACCGGCAUGCUGGGCGUAUCAGCUCUGGUCGGCGUUUAUCAGGCCUACAAGUCCCGCAAGAAUCCCGAGGCCGUCAAGGAGUAUCUCGUCGGUGGCCAGAACAUGUCCAUAUUUCCCAUCAGCAUGUCGCUGAUCGCCAGUUACAUCUCGGGCAUCGCGAUACUGGGUUUACCCGCCGAGAUGUACGUAUACGGCACGCAGCUCUGGUGCAUCGUCAUCGCCGACUGCUUCGUCUCGCUCACGAUGGCCUUGGUGUAUCUUCCGGUUUUUUACGGCCUCCAAAUAACGUCGUCGUACGAGUAUUUGGAAAUGAGAUUCAACCACGUAACGAGAAUGAUCGGAUCGAUCAUCUUCCUGAUAAAAAUGCUGCUUUAUAUACCACUGGUCAUUUACGUGCCGGCGCUAGCGUUUAACCAGGUCACCGGUGUUAAUCUGCACAUGAUAGCGUCGCUCGUCUGCGCCGUCUGCAUAUUUUACACGUGUCUCGGUGGUCUGAAGGCGGUCGUAUGGACGGACACGAUCCAGACGAUCGUCAUGUUCGGAGGCGUGAUCACAGUGGCGGUGAUCGGUACCGCGCGAGUCGGUGGCGUCGCCGAGGUUUGGAAGCGCAACGUCGCCACCGGACGCAUCGAAUUUUUCAACAUGAAUCCCGAUCCAACGGUGAGACACACCUUCUGGUCGGUCGUCGUGGGCAACUAUCUGAAUUGGCUAGCGACCUGCUCGGUCAAUCAAGCCAUGGUUCAGAGAUGCCUGGCGAUGCCGAAUUUGAGAAAAUCAAACAUUACGAUAACCAUUAUGGCGAUCGGUAUCAUUUCCAUCGUUUCUCUCAGCUGCUACUCGGGAAUUCUCAUUUUCGCCGCUUUCUUCGACUGCGACCCGGUGACAACUAAGCAAAUACGCAAACCCGAUCAACUUUUGCCGUAUUACGUGAUGGAAAUGGCUCAAUCUCUGCCGGGGUUACCUGGGCUUUUUGUUUCGGGUGUUUUCAGUGCUGCUCUAAGCACAAUGUCGACGGGUUUGAACUCGAUGUCCGGCGUGAUCUACGAGGACAUGAUAAAGCCUUGCCUCAAGAGGCCGUUGUCGGAUUUAGGAGCGAGCAGAGUCAUGAAGCUCACGGUCGUCGUCAUCGGGGUCGUUUGCGUGGCUCUGGUAUUGCUCGUCGAGAAGCUUAGCGGACUCAUACAGGCAGGAAAAAGUCUAUCCGGCAUAACAGCCGGUCCACUGCUGGGCAUCUUCACUCUCGGAAUGUUUUUCCCUUCGGCCAAUUCUAAGGGAGCAAUAGCCGGAGCUCUGCUGAGUCUGAAUCUCGUCGCGUGGAUAUCGUUCGGUACGCAGGCCUCCGUGGCCAGUGGACAGAUCAAAUUCCCCGUGAAGCCCGUCACCGUCGAGGGUUGUCCCGACGCCCUCAAGGCCGCCGCGAACAACGUCACUUUGCUCCUUCAAGAAGCCCAUCACGAGUCGCCGUUUUUCCUCUACAGAAUGUCGUAUCUCUGGUACACGUGGGUAGGCUUUUUAACGGCCAUCGGUGUAGGACUGAUCGUUUCUUGGAUCACGGGCCCGAACAAGUACAAGCCGGAGGACAAGAAACUUUAUACGCCCGUCAUUCAUCGUUUUUUGGCCGACGAACAGAAGGAAAUAUCUUCGGAAUUGAAAAUAAGACGGGAGAAAUGACACAAUAUCUAACGAUAGAUAAAAGUAGUUAGUAAUAAUAGUGAAGUAAUUAUCCUAGCUGUAUAAAUAUAUGGUUUAAGGUAAUUUUAAUUCUAGAAUAAAUCAUCGAUAUUAAAGUAAAUUAAAAUUAAUAUUUACGACAAAUUCAUAGCCCUUCGAAAUACGCUCGUGACCAGCAUGAACAAAGAAUUCUAAUUACAAUUUAAAAAAAAUGAAGAAAUUAACCGAAACAAUUGUUAUUUUUCAUUUCAUACACAAUAAUCUUAAAAAUAUCAACUGAUAUCCAGAUAACAAUAAAAUGGCAUUAAUUAUUUGCACAUAUAAAAUGUCGAAAAUAUUACCGUAAUCGGAAUAAUUAAUAAGUAUGAUAGUUUUGCAUAAUACAAAAUAAGCAAGCAGCCUACUAAGGCCCAAGUGAGUUAUUGGAAUGUAACGAAUAAAUGAUACAUUUUCAUUACUCACAUCUGAAUGGAAAUGUUACAAACGACCUAAGCAUUAAAACUCGUUGAUUGUGAGCUCAUCCGACGCUGUCAAUAGGAACUCAGUAAUGUUAGUAAACAUAAAGUUUGUUAAAAAUUAAGAAGUAAAAUGUUUUGUUUCGAAAUCGUAUUAUUUCAAUUUUUACAAAAACAAGUACAGUAAUUAUUAUAUCUUUAUAUAAGCUUGACAUACAGUUUCGAGAAGAAGAGAAUAUAUUCUGAUUAUUACUUAAUUAUGUCGAAAGAAAUGGAUACUAUGCAUAUGGUAGUACACUAACCAGUUAGUAAUGGAUUUUUAUUAAAGAUCAUUUUGAAUUGUACGCUAACUACUCUGAGCGAUGAGGGACGCCAUCUUACGGUGCUCGCGCAAUCUUAUUUUGUAUUAUUAGAUAUCGUCAAUUGAAGUUUUUUUCUAAUAACUUCGUUUAUGUUCACAUUUUUAACCUUAUAAUUACUUGAUUUUGUAUAUUUAAAGACACAUCGUCGAUAAAUGCCGAUUUUCCAAAAUAUUUUAAAAUAUUUUUAAGAAAAAAAACAUAUUUCAAUCUAACACAGAAGCCGAUA